AUGGACUCGUCUCCAACCUUCUGCCGGCGAGAAUCCGAGGACAAUGAGCCUUCUCCGAUGAGCUUUGUUGUGCCUGAUAAUGCGCCUCCUCUAACGUAUUUCUCGACGCCAUACCAUGGCGUUAGAACUUCGUCUGGCAGCGGCUCAAAUUUUCCGAUUGGCGGCGAGAACUCCACUGUGCGCCAUCCGGCGAUGCACACAUCCACGUUGACGCCGCCGUGUACUGUUGAACCAAGCGAGAUGAUGACUCCAGAUCCCAGCACAAGAUACAUACAUGAGAAUGAGGUCUCUCCUAAUACAAUAAUGAAUGUGUUGACCCAUUUUCAUGGCAACUAUGAGGUCAUGCCAAUGAAUGAUCGUGACUUGCGAAAUAGAAGAGCAGCCAAUGUACUUAAGAAGCGAGCUGAUGAUGUAAAAAAACUUAGGGCCUUCUUCAAUGAGUUCAGAGCACAUAACAAUCAAGAUGUAGCAAUGGAAAACGCUCUUCCGCACAUGUUUCCAAACACGUUGCAUAGGCUAUGCAGAUGGCAUGUAUGGGAAAGGCACAAAGUUGACUUGAAGCCACUGUUUGACUUGCAUGAUGGUUUGAAAGAUAAGCUACUAACAGCAAUAAAUCACCCACUUACCCCUCUAGAGUUUGAGUCUACAUGGAAGGAUAUGGUGAAUGAAUAUGGCCUUGAGUCAGAUCCUAUGAUCAGCAGUUUGUAUGAUCAGCAUGCACGUUGGAUUGCGGCAUACUUCAAAGCUGUUUACUGUGGGAGAAUGAUGUCUACGCAGCACAGUGAAAGCAUGAACAGACUUGUGAAAAGACAUCAUGUUAACACUACGACACCUUUGCAUGAGUUUGCACGAAAAAUGUACCUAGUCUUGCAAAAGAGAAAAGAAGCAGAAGGCCGAGAGACCAUUGCAUGUCAGGCACGCCCAGCAACAAUAACAAACUACCCUCUGGAAAAUCAGUUGAGCAGGAUCUAUACCCGUGCCGUAUUCAACAAAUACAAAGAUGCAUAUGUUUAUGGAACAUCUUUCCUUACAAAGAAAGUGGAUGCUGGUCGUUUCCUUGUGGUCUAUGGUAGAGAUGGCCCGUCUUUUUCUUGGUCCCAACAUGAGUUCAAAGUGGUUUGUGAUGAAGAAAAAGAAGACUUCAGAUGUGAGUGCAUGCAGUGGGAGCACACAGGAUUGUUAUGCCCACACCUUAUUAUAGUGAUGACAAAUGAGCAGAUUCAGAGGCUUCCUAGCAAGUAUGUGCUAAGAAGAUACACAAGGAAUGCACGAAUUGACCCUCCUUACGACAGGAAUGACACUCUCCAAGUUGGAGCCGAUGGGACGCUAGUUAGCGUGACGCACUUUAAUAUGCUCAGGGAGGCUUUUGCCUGUGUUAGAGCAGGUGACAGAUCAACAAUUGCAUCUGUAUGA
rnacentral:rRNA from 1 species